GACACUGUGGCCGAGUGGUUAAGGCGAUGGCCUGCUAUACUUAGCGGAUUAGCCAUUGGGUUCGCCCGCGUGAGUUCGAAUCUCAUCGGUGUCG